rnacentral:ncRNA from 1 species
GAAGUGGACAAAUUUGGCUGCUUGCAACCACUUUCAAAAAAAUGCUAAAACUGCA